CGAGUGGCGGACGGGUGAGUAACGCGUGGGCAACCUGCCCUGUACUGGGGGAUAACACCUGGAAACAGGGUGCUAAUACCGCAUAAGCGCGCUGUACCGCAUGGCGCGGCGCGGAAAAACCCCGGUGGUACAGGAUGGGCCCGCGUCUGAUUAGCUGGUUGGCAGGGUAACGGCCUACCAAGGCGACGAUCAGUAGCCGGCCUGAGAGGGUGGACGGCCACACUGGGACUGAGACACGGCCCAGACUCCUACGGAAGGCAGCAG
rnacentral:rRNA from 1 species